UACGUAGGGCGCAAGCGUUGUCCGGAAUUAUUGGGCGUAAAGAGCUCGUAGGCGGUUUGUCGCGUCGGAUGUGAAAGCCCGGGGCUUAACCCCGGGUCUGCAUUCGAUACGGGCAGACUGGAGUGUGGUAGGGGAGAUCGGAAUUCCUGGUGUAGCGGUGAAAUGCGCAGAUAUCGGGAAGAACACCCGUGGCGAAGGCGGUUCUCUGGGACGGUACUGACGCUGAGACGCGAAAGCGUGGGGAGCGAACAGG
rnacentral:rRNA from 1 species